rnacentral:tRNA from 1 species
GGCAAGGUACGCAAAUCGGCAAAGCGGCGCAGCUCAAACCUGCGCGACUUUGUGGGUUCGACUCCCACCCUUGCCA